UACGUAGGGGGCUAGCGUUGUCCGGAAUCAUUGGGCGUAAAGAGCGUGUAGGCGGCCCGGUAAGUCCGCUGUGAAAGUCGGGGGCUCAACCCUCGAAUGCCGGUGGAUACUGUCGGGCUAGAGUGCGGAAGAGGCGAGUGGAAUUCCUGGUGUAGCGGUGAAAUGCGCAGAUAUCAGGAAGAACACCAAUGGCGAAAGCAGCUUCUGGGACGGUACUGACGCUGAGACGCGAAAGCGUGGGGAGCGAACAGG
rnacentral:rRNA from 1 species